GACGAACGCUGGCGGCACGCUUAACACAUGCAAGUCGAACGAAGUGGCGGACGGGUGAGUAACACGUGAGCAAUCUGCCUUUAGAGGGGGAUACCGAUUGGAAACGAUCGUUAAUACCGCAUACUGAAAGAUAAGCUCGCGUCUGAUUAGCUAGUUGGUAAGGUAACGGCUUACCAAGGCGACGAUCAGUAGCCGGACUGAGAGGUUGAUCGGCCACAUUGGGACUGAGACACGGCCCAGACUCCUACGGGAGGCAGCAGUGGGGAAUAUUGCACAAUGGAGGAAACUCUGAUGCAGCGAUGCCGCGUGAGGGAAGAAGGUUUUAGGAUUGUAAACCUCUGUCUUCAGGGACGCGGUACCUGAGGAGGAAGCUCCGGCUAACUACGUGCCAGCAGCCGCGGUAAUACGUAGGGAGCGAGCGUUGUCCGGAAUUACUGGGUGUAAAGGGAGCGUAGGCGGGAUCGCAAGUCAGAUGUGAAAACUAGGGGCUUAACCCAUAAACUGCAUUUGAAACUGUGGUUCUUGAGUGAAGUAGAGGUAAGCGGAAUUCCUAGUGUAGCGGUGAAAUGCGUAGAUAUUAGGAGGAACAUCAGUGGC
rnacentral:rRNA from 1 species